UACCAGCACCCCGAGUGGUCGGGACGAUUAUUGGGCCUAAAGCAUCCGUAGCCGGUCCUACAAGUCUUCCGUUAAAUCCAGCUGCUUAACAGAUGGGCUGCGGAGGAUACUAUAAGACUAGGAGGCAGGAGAGGCAAGCGGUACUCAGUGGGUAGGGGUAAAAUCCGUUGAUCCAUUGAAGACCACCAGUGGCGAAGGCGGCUUGCCAGAAUGCGCUCGACGGUGAGGGAUGAAAGCUGGGGGAGCAAACCGG
rnacentral:rRNA from 1 species